GAUGAACGCUGGCGGCGUGCCUAAUACAUGCCAGUCGAGCGAACAGAUGAGGAGCUUGCUCCUCUGACGUUAGCGGCGGACGGGUGAGUAACACGUGGAUAACCUGCCUAUAAGACUGGGAUAACUUCGGGAAACCGGAGCUAAUACCGGAUAAUAUAUUGAACCGCAUGGUUCAAUAGUGAAAGACGGUUUUGCUGUCACUUAUAGAUGGAUCCGCGCCGCAUUAGCUAGUUGGUAAGGUAACGGCUUACCAAGGCAACGAUGCGUAGCCGACCUGAGAGGGUGAUCGGCCACACUGGAACUGAGACACGGUCCAGACUCCUACGGGAGGCAGCAGUAGGGAAUCUUCCGCAAUGGGCGAAAGCCUGACGGAGCAACGCCGCGUGAGUGAUGAAGGUCUUCGGAUCGUAAAACUCUGUUAUUAGGGAAGAACAAAUGUGUAAGUAACUAUGCACGUCUUGACGGUACCUAAUCAGAAAGCCACGGCUAACUACGUG
rnacentral:rRNA from 1 species